UACGUAGGGUGCAAGCGUUGUCCGGAAUUAUUGGGCGUAAAGAGCUCGUAGGCGGUUUGUCGCGUCUGCUGUGAAAACUCGGGGCUUAACUCCGGGCCUGCAGUGGGUACGGGCAGACUAGAGUGCGGUAGGGGAGACUGGAAUUCCUGGUGUAGCGGUGAAAUGCGCAGAUAUCAGGAGGAACACCGGUGGCGAAGGCGGGUCUCAGGGCCGUAACUGACGCUGAGGAGCGAAAGCGUGGGGAGCGAACAGG
rnacentral:rRNA from 1 species